GAUGAAGAACGUAGCGAAAUGCGAUACGUAAUGUGAAUUGCAAAUUCAGUGAAUCAUCGAGUCUUUGAACGCAGAUUGCGCCCCCUGGUAUUCCGGGGGGCAUGCCUGUCCGAGCGUCAUUGCUGCCCUCAAGCACGGCUUGUGUGUUGGGCCCCGUCCUCCGAUUCCGGGGGACGGGCCCGAAAGGCAGCGGCGGCACCGCGUCCGGUCCUCGAGCGUAUGGGGCUUUGUCACCCGCUCUGUAGGCCCGGCCGGCGCUUGCCGAUCAACCCAAAUUUUUAUCCAGGUUGACCUCGGAUCAGGUAGGGAUACCCGCUGAACUUAAGCAUAUCAAUAAGCGGAGGA
rnacentral:misc_RNA from 1 species